GGGGAUAUAGCUCAGAGAGCGCUUGAAUGGCAUUCAAGAGGUCGUCGGUUCGAUCCCGAUUAUCUCCACCA
rnacentral:tRNA from 1 species